UACAGAGGGUGCAAGCGUUAAUCGGAAUUACUGGCGUAAAGCGUGCGUAGACGGUUACAUAAGUCGGGUGUGAAAGCCCCGGGCUCAACCCUGGGAAUUGCAUUCGAGACUGCGUAGCUAGGGUGCGGAAGAGGGAAGCGGAAUUUCCGGUGUAGCGGUGAAAUGCGCAGAUAUCAGGAGGAACACCGGUGGCGGAAGGCGGGUCUCUGGGCCGUAACUGACGCUGAGGAGCGAAAGCAUGGGGAGCGAACAGG
rnacentral:rRNA from 1 species